rnacentral:lncRNA from 1 species
AUGGACCAUCACUUGCACAAGAUGAAUAUGCCAUUAGCUGAGUUGAUGAAUGAGUUGCAAAAGGUGGAAAUUGGUUUCAAGGGUAAGGAUGGCCAUACUCAUGCAGCAAUUGGUUUCAAGGGUAAGGCGGAAUUGGAAAGAAGAUGAAGAGAUCUAAAAAGAAUCCAGGAAGCAACAAAAAGCCCAAAUCAAAUGGAAUGUCGAAAGGCAAGUGUUUCUAUUGUGGUCGCAAAUGACAUUGGAAGAAAGACCGCCUUGAUGCACUAGCUAAAAAGCUGGGUGUUGGUAAGUUUUUUAUUGCUGAGUCAUGUUUGGUGGUUGAUUCUACAAAUUCCUGGGUUGUAGACUCUGGAGCCACUAAUCAUAUAUGUAUGUCUAUGCAGGUACUUCAGGAGAGCAGAAGACUCAGUGAGGGUCAGUUUAAAAUUACGAUCGGCACAAGAACUAUAGUUUCAGCAAGAGCAGUCGGAGUAGUUUAUUUUUAUUUCAAUAGUGGUAGGCGUUUAAUUCUUAAAGACUGUUAUUAUGUCCCGCGAAUGAAGCGAAAUUUGAUUUAUGUUUCUU